UAACAUUUCAGUGAGGCGCGCGCGCGCGCGCGUGUGUGUGUGUGUUCAUAGGUGUGUCUUGGGGAAGGAGUUAAUUCAUCAUCCUCAUCGGGUUGUGAGAGUCUUUUAGCCACCGAGUCACGGGGAGACUCCGCCGAUGGAUGUGUCAACUUUCUCCUCUUUUAUUUCACCCACUGGCACAACAUGAAGACACAUAUCGGUAUUGCUCGUGUUAAAGGACAUAAUCCUAUGGCGUAGCAUUUUUACUGCUCUUUACAAAAGCUGGCUUUUUCCCCCCUUUUAUUUUACAUUUAUAUUCUAAUCCACAUUUUAAUGAUACAGUGUUGUGCUGCUAGCGUAUCCAGCUAGCUAGGCAGCUAUUCAGCUAGCUAAUCAUUUGCCGGUCAAAUUCCCAGCGACUUCAGUGAUGAUUCAGAGGAUCUUCGGCUAAUGAAGCAUCUCGAAGCUUUCUGUUUCCCGAAAAUUUGGACUUUGUGGACUACGAUACGAAAAUGAAGAAGCAGUUUAAUCGGAUGAAACAACUCGCCAACCAGACAGUUGGCAGAGCUGAAAAAACCGAAGUCCUCAGCGAUGACCUGUUACAGAUCGAACGUCGCAUGGAGCUGGUGCGGGCUGUUUCUCACAACACACACAAGAGACUGGUUACAUGUCUGCAGGGGCAGAAAAAGCUCCCACUGACAGCAUUGUCACAAGCCAUGCAAGAUGGCGGGAGCCAGCUAGGAGAGGAGUCUCUUAUUGGGAAAAUGAUGGAGGUGUGUGGCGAGGCGGAGAACAGACUGGCGUCUGAGCUGAUGCAGCAUGAGAUUCAGAUUGAGAAGGACAUUUUAGACCCACUAAAUCAGUUAGCUGAGGUGGACAUCCCCAACAUACUCAAGCAGAGAAGACAACUUGCCAAGCUGGUGCUAGACUAUGAUUCUGCUCGAACAAGAUGGUUGCAGGCAACCAAGUCUAUAAUCUCGGGAACAAACACACAAGCGCUGUCCGCCAAGGCAGACUCGCUUAAAGAAGAGAUGGAUGAAGCAAUGAACAAAAUGGAGCUCUGCAAGGAUCAACUCUCUGCCGACCUGUAUAAUUUCUUUUCAAAAGAGGGGGACUAUGCACGCUACUAUGUAACGUUAUUAGAGGCUCAGGCGGAUUACCACCGAAAAUCUCUCUCUGUGCUGGAAAGUGUCCUGCCAACCAUUCAGGCACAGCAAGACUCAUGGACAGAGAAGCCAGCAUUUGGAACAGGCUUGGAUGAGCACCUGAAGCGGAGUAGCAGAGAGAUAGCGCUACCCAUAGAGGCCUGUGUGAUGAUGCUGUUGGAGACGGGCAUGAAGGAAGAGGGUCUUUUCCGAAUAACUGCAGGAGCCUCUAAACUGAAGAAGCUUAAGGCAGCGCUGGACUGCUCCACCUCUCAGCUAGAGGAGUUCUACUCUGACCCACAUGCAGUUGCUGGGGCUUUGAAGUCCUACCUGAGGGAACUGCCAGAGCCUCUUAUGACUUAUGAAUUCUAUGAUGAGUGGAUUCAGGCAUCCAAUAUAUCUGACCCAGACAAACGGUUACAAGCUUUGUGGGUGACCUGUGAUCAAUUACCAAAGAACAACAAAGCCAACUUUAGGUAUCUGGUGAAGUUCCUUGCUAAGCUUGCUCAAGAAAGUGAAAUAAACAAGAUGACCCCCAGCAACAUUGCAAUUGUCUUGGGACCGAAUCUGUUAUGGGCAAAAACAGAGGGGAGCCUAGCAGAAAUGGCAGCUGCUACCUCUGUCCAUGUCGUUACUAUUAUUGAGCCCAUCAUUCAACAUGCAGACUGGUUUUUCCCUGAAGAUGUGGAGUUCAAUGUAUCCGGCAUGUUUUCAAUGCCCACCCCCAUGACAAACCAUGUCAACCAUCUGACCCUACCCGACUAUGACUCGGGCACAAUAGAGAGGAAGAGACCUAAUAGUAUGGUGGGACCUGAUGGUGACGUGGCCAAACGAGACAGCUCUGCUAACAAAUUAAUGGAGCACAAUCCCCGUAGAGGCAGUACACUAACUAGAAAGCAGCACGCUUCCCCUGCCUUCCAGCCCCCUCUGCCCCCGGUGGAGGCUGUCAGUAUUGCAGGAGGCCAGCCUGUAGCUGAGCUCCUGCUACAGCAGCCUGCACCAGAGGGCCUGGGUAUGGAGGCCUGCCAGCCUAGCUUGGCACUGGGGAUGGCAGCCCUAGCAGCAGCACAGCAGCUUCUAGCACAACAAACGGAGGAGCUCAGUUCAAAGUCGAGUGACGCAGCAUCCACACCUCAGAGAAAUGGUUGUGGAGGUUCACAUCUGAGUGUGGCAUCUCCAGCAACGGGAUCAUCAGGACACAGCCCUCUGUUGGCACGCAGAGUUAUAAAAAAGCCGGCUCCUGCUCCUCCUAAACCAACCAAUCCACCUUCAGGUCAGCCGGGCAGCCAGUCAGCUCCACAGUCUUCAUGUGGGACUCCUCAAUUCCUCUCUCCAUCUCCAAGACCUCUCUCCACUAACUCUCCAAGCAGUCUUAGCCCCACUCAGUUAGUAAUUCAGUCUAGCACGUUACCUCGGCGCUAUUCAGGCAACCAGCCUCCCCUCCAGGCCCCCAACCAUCCACCCCCAGAGCCCCCCAGCCAGGUCAGUGUUCCUCCACCUCAGCCCACAGCAGUCGGAGAUCCAGGAGAGGAGCCGUCUCCACCCAGUACUCCCAGUCCCCCUAAAACUCCUCCACUUUCCAUGGUCCCUCCUGAAAAUGCAAGCACAAAUGUUUCCCCAUUUCCGUCUGGCUCCCUUCCUCGGUCUCGGCCAGUGCCUAAACCACGCAACAGACCCACUGUUCCGCCUCCACCACAGCCUCAGUGUGUGGCCAGCGACACCAGUGACACGAAUGACAUCUGGAGUGCUGCCUACAAAAUGAUGGAACCAGGGAUGUCAUUCAAAGGGCUAAACCGAGUCCUUGUUCCUGACAUUGGCCCAGAACAGCAGCCUGUUGCUCAGCUAAAGGAUUCAGACUUGGACUCAGAGAGCACCGUCCUGUGAAGGUGAGGAUUUGGCUGCCAUAAACCUGUUACCUGUUCCUCACAUCCCAAGGACUCUCUUAAAUGCUGCUGCUCCUUCCCUUUCACCAAGUCUUCGUCAGCUUGGUUGCAUUUCACCAAAGAUUUGGACCUUCAGUAGCACCCACAGGAAUAGCGGCAUGGACAUAUUGCAUGGCACCAAACAGGUUUAAAGCUAUCACACUAAAUUUCAUUUUAUUGUAAGAAUACUGGGAAAUAGGUUGAGGUACUAGUUGGUGUAUCUUAAGUGGCCUUAGUUAAAAAAAAGAAAAAAGCAAGAGAGAACAAAGCAUAUUAAGCUUGGGAUGAUAUUAAGCUGAAACCAUAUAUUGUGGCUUUAGAGUGUACCUUGUGACUGCAGGUUUCCAGUCAGCUAAUAUACUCGACUCUUAAUUUUAUGUAUGGAAACUGUCCUACAUCUGUUUCUAUCAACACAUUCCCUAAGGCUUAUGUAUGUCUCAGUUGUUCUGUUUUUCAUUUGAAAGUCUUAGUCCUCUUGUGUUUAGCUGAAUUUCCUGCAGUUUAUUAUCAAUAUAGCCUAUUACCUACAGUAUAAAAAUGUACACGCGUCACAAGGUUAGUAUUCUUCAGCCGUUAAUGUUUUCCUAAACCUAGGGCAUUAAUGUGAUCAUGUGUUAAUUUAACUAUUUCCUAAAUGACAGACGGAGAACAAACUGACAAAUGAGACAACCCUGACAGUCUGUGACCUUGCUGGACGAAAACACUGUGUGGUAUACUGAAUAUUUUACUGUGUUAAAAAAACAAAACAAACCACAGGAUCUUGAAUGAUGGCAAGUGACAAAAUCAUAUACACUAAGGAUGACCUUUAUAGUAUGUUUGUUCACAGGCCUUGCCUUUACCUUGCUGCCUUACCCAUUAUAACAUUUGGAAAAUGAACUAAAGCUAUAUAUGUUGAUGGUGUACAAAGAAGAAACUUCUGAAAUGAGAAAUUUAGUGGGGGGGGGGGGGGGGAGACAAAAUGCUUGCUAUUACUGCUUUACCAUUAAUUAAUAAAGCACAAUACCAACUGCUUUUAUGGCUUUUUAAUUAUAUGCGUCAGUGACAUCUUCCUUUGUAAAUAUCCCUUGUUGCAUUCUAAGGGUCUUUUGUUCUUUACCACUCUGACUUCCAGUAGAGUCGAUGAUUGGUUGACACACAGUUUCUAAUAACACAAACAUGACAAACCUGAAUACUUUAAAUGACAUAACAUUUACCUGGGUCCAUGAAUAUGUUGACUGGUUUUGUGUAGCUAUUAAGGAAGGUAGUGGGAGAAUGUAGCACUUGGCUCUUGCAGAGGUGAAUAAUGGUUUCCUCUUCCAGCACAAGAGCCUGUUCCUUUGUGUUUUGCCCUUCACAAAUAACCUGCAGAGUGACAUUGGAAAUAUUACACAGGCAGCUCAAUGUUUUCCUCCUCUCCACUACAAUAAUGAUGUAUACACAGUAAUAUGUACUCCGAGACUGACUGGCUGAGGGUUCUUUUAAUGUUUAAAAGAGUUUCUAAACCUGUAGUAAUAGGACACAUUUCAUUUGCAAUUGUCUUUAGCCCUGUCUGGAGCAGGAAAGCAGAGCUUCUCAGGUCUGGGUGGGGUUAUUUGGGGGAAAGGCAUGUCCGUGUUUUCACUACAGUUCGCCUCUCAGGUAGCAGAAGACUUGCAAACCUUUAAACUCCUGAAGUGAUGUAAUGGAAUUGAGCAAAAGAGCAAACGCACAAGAAACAACACUGACGAAGUAAGUCAUGUUAGGCUGUAUGUCAAAUCACGGUAUGUAUAAGAAAAACAUGAAUCCUGUCAGCACUAUAUUAGUUUUUAAAAUCUCAGAAGGAAUGUCAAAAAUGUCCAGUGCUUGAUGUGCAGGUAUCCUGAAUAUAAAAAGUGCAAAAAUGUAAUGAGACAAAGAUGAUAACAUAAUAGAACCAGUGUAUGUAAAGGGAAAUAUUUCUCCUAAGCCAGGAAGCUAGUGUCAGGGUUUACAUGACAGAAUCUGCAGGCUAGUUGCUAAGCAGCAGAAACCCGAGCCUCAAAAAGACACACAGAAAAGGGUCUGUAGACUCAUGAGCAAAGGAAAAGUAACAGGUGCUAGGACACAUUUUUAUGCAUUCAUGAAAUGUUCUGGGGCUCAGUGUACAAAUGUGAUUCAUACGUUUCUCUUUUUUCCUACCCUUAUUUACCAAAGUAGGUAUGUGAAAAUGUAACAGCAUUUGGUGCAGUAUCUCUUUAAGGCACUGAAUAUGCAAAGCUGUUACACUUCUGUAUGUGGCUGUGGCUGCAAACAGAUGUUUAUGUACCUUUAGCAGAUAUGUGCAGUAUUUAUAAAUCACUGCGAGGCUGUGUGGGACGAGCAGCUCAUCUGGCUGUGUGUGUGCAGCUACA